GGGCCCGUCGUCUAGCCUGGUUAGGACGCCGCCCUCACACGGCGGAGGUCCGGGGUUCGAGUCCCCGCGGGCCCA
rnacentral:tRNA from 1 species